AUAACUUGAUUAUCUAAAUGUAGAUGAUAUUGAAUUGAAAAAAUAAUUUAAUUUCUAACGCAAAUAAUCAACUCGCGGUGUACCGCGGGUCUAUAUCUAGUUCUAGUAAUAAACAGAGAGAAUAAAAGCUACCAACUUUACAAACAUGGAGCAACACAUACAAGUUAAGAUACUACAAUAAUCGAUCAAUCACCAAGAAUGCAAAAAAGGUGAAUUACAUAGAUUUGAGUUGUAUCCACGUAAUAUUACGCAACCAAAUUCGUCAAAGACACUACCAAACCCUAAUCCUAAUCUCUGAAUAUCUUCUGACAAAGCCACUUUGCAGUUUGAGUUUGAGCUUGAGAUGGUAUCCUCUUUCGUUUCUUCACCUUGGGAAUCUUCGAGAGUCCUCUCCUGAUUACAUAUCUUGUGUUGGUUCACUACCAUUAGGUGUGUGAUACGAUUCAUCAAUCGUAUGUCAAGAAAAAGUCAACUCCACGUCAGCUAGAGUCAACAGAAAAUAGACUCACUAAAAGAAACAUAGGCUUUGAGGAAGAGAAAGAAGAAGUGAAAGACUCUGGAUCGGGAAGAGGGUUUGCCGUUGGUGUUGACGGAGCUUAAAUAGCCGUUGGAGCUCAUUGUUCUUUUUAUUGCUAUUUUCUAGAUGGUUCAGAGAGAGAGAAUAAUUUCUGUAGAUGUUCCAGUAGCGAUCUAUGUUGAUUGUUUUAUCGUGAGCUUAUAUGUUUGAACGAUUUGUUAUGCAAAUCUUGCUGAUUAUCUCCUUGGUAAUUGAUUUGGAUCUUGUAUUUAUGAACUGGCCACAUAUUUAAAUUAUAAGAUUUUCAUUAUAGUUUAAGAUUGUCAUCUAAUAAUA
rnacentral:sRNA from 1 species